GACGAACGCUGGCGGCGUGCUUAACACAUGCAAGUCGAACGGAAAGGCCCUGCUUUUGUGGGGUGCUCGAGUGGCGAACGGGGGAGUAACACGUGAGUAACCUGCCCUUGACUUUGGGAUAACUUCAGGAAACUGGGGCUAAUACCGGAUAGGAGCUCCUGCUGCAUGGUGGGGGUUGGAAAGUUUCGGCGGUUGGGGAUGGACUCGCGGCUUAUCAGCUUGUUGGUGGGGUAGUGGCUUACCAAGGCUUUGACGGGUAGCCGGCCUGGGAGGGUGACCGGCCCCAUUGGGACUGCGAUACGGCCCAGACUCCUACGGGAGGCAGCAGUGGGGAAUAUUGCACAAUGGGCGGAAGCCUGAUGCAGCAACGCCGCGUGCGGGAUGACGGCCUUCGGGUUGUAAACCGCUUUCGCCUGUGACGAAGCGUGAGUGACGGUAAUGGGUAAAGAAGCACCGGCUAACUACGUG
rnacentral:rRNA from 1 species